rfam:Triticum aestivum genome assembly, contig: Triticum_aestivum_CS42_TGACv1_scaffold_249881_3DL
GGAGUACUCCCUCAGUCCGGAAAUACUUGUCAUCAAAAUGGAUAAAAGGAGAUGUAUCUAGACGUAUUUUAGUUCUAGAUACAUUUUUUAUUUAUUCAUUUUGAUGACAAGUAUUUUCGGACGGAGUGAGUAUAUA